rnacentral:rRNA from 1 species
UACGUAGGGGGCUAGCGUUAUCCGGAAUUACUGGGCGUAAAGGGUGCGUAGGUGGUUUCUUAAGUCAGAGGUGAAAGGCUACGGCUCAACCGUAGUAAGCCUUUGAAACUGGGGAACUUGAGUGCAGGAGAGGAGAGUGGAAUUCCUAGUGUAGCGGUGAAAUGCGUAGAUAUUAGGUGGAACACCAGUUGCGAAGGCGGCUCUCUGGACUGUAACUGACACUGAGGCACGAAAGCGUGGGGAGCAAACAGG